GAUGAGUGUCAUAGAUUAGGUAACUAUUUAUUCUAUAAAUGAAAGUGUAAGCACUCCACCUCAAGAGUAAUUUGGCAACAUUGGAACUGAAAUCAUUAGACCGUUUCUGAAACCAGUAGUGAAGUAUGUUGUUUAAUUUGAUGAUCCGCAAAAAACCUUACCACAACUUGAAUGUUUAUAUUUUUAUAUAGAUACAAGCGUUGCACGGCUGUCUUCAGUUAAUGUCGCGAGACCAUGGUUAGUUCCAUUAAAUUAACGUAAACCCUUACUUUAUUUUUAUAUAAAGUUGUUCCCCAUUAUAUUGGAUAUGAUAACAGGGACUAAGACAAGUCAUCAUGGCCUGAAUGUUGUGGGCUAUAGACGUGCCAC
rnacentral:rRNA from 1 species